rnacentral:lncRNA from 1 species
AAAGUAUGAAAUGUUCAUUUUCUAGUUAAGUAUAUCCUUUGUAAAGUGUAUUCAUUCCUUGGCAGUAUGUCUCUCUAAGGAAGUCUCGGGGCUCCCAAGUACACGAUUGUGUAGGUGUGUGCUGAAAGCGCUUCCUUGAAUUGAAUGCCAGCCUGUAUCUGAACCCCCUUUCCAUAUCUCAGAGAAGGUAUGCAAACAAGUCAUCUGUGCUAUAUGUACCCUUUUGAAUCAAGAGUACUCAACGAAAUUAAAUUUCUCUUCAAUUCUUGAACAUGUCGUAUGCCACUAAGUGUUCUAAC